rnacentral:rRNA from 1 species
GAUCCUGGCUCAGGAUGAACGCUAGCUACAGGCUUAACACAUGCAAGUCGAGGGGCAUCAUGAGGUUAGCUUGCUAAUCUUGAUGGCGACCGGCGCACGGGUGAGUAACGCGUAUCCAACCUUCCCUUAACUCCGGAAUAGCCCGCUGAAAGGCGGAUUAAUGCCGGAUGCGGUCCAGCGAGGGCAUCUGACCCGGACCAAAGGUUUACCGGUUAAGGAUGGGGAUGCGUCUGAUUAGGUUGUUGGCGGGGUAACGGCCCACCAAGCCAUCGAUCAGUAGGGGUUCUGAGAGGAAGGUCCCCCACAUUGGAACUGAGACACGGUCCAAACUCCUACGGGAGGCAGCAGUGAGGAAUAUUGGUCAAUGGGCGAUGGCCUGAACCAGCCAAGUAGCGUGCGGGACGACGGCCCUAUGGGUUGUAAACCGCUUUUGCAGGGGAAUAAAGUGUCCUACGCGUAGGAUUUUGUAUGUACCCUGAGAAUAAGCAUCGGCUAACUCCGUGCC